rnacentral:rRNA from 1 species
CCUACGGGGGGCAGCAGUGAGGAAUAUUGGUCAAUGGACGAGAGUCUGAACCAGCCAAGUAGCGUGAAGGAUGACUGCCCUAUGGGUUGUAAACUUCUUUUAUAUGGGAAUAAAACGUUCCACGUGUGGGAUUUUGUAUGUACCAUAUGAAUAAGGAUCGGCUAACUCCGUGCCAGCAGCCGCGGUAAUACGGAGGAUCCGAGCGUUAUCCGGAUUUAUUGGGUUUAAAGGGAGCGUAGGUGGAUUGUUAAGUCAGUUGUGAAAGUUUGCGGCUGAACCGUAAAAUUGCAGUUGAAACUGGCAGUCUUGAGUACAGUAGAGGUGGGCGGAAUUCGUGGUGUAGCGGUGAAAUGCUUAGAUAUCACGAAGAACUCCGAUUGCGAAGGCAGUUCACUGGACUGCAACUGACACUGAGGCUCGAAAGUGUGGGUAUCAAACAGGAUUAGAUACCCCUGUAGUC